GAUGAACGCUGACAGAAUGCUUAACACAUGCAAGUCAACUUGAAUUUGGGUUUUUAACUUAGGUUUGGGUGGCGGACGGGUGAGUAACGCGUAAAGAACUUGCCUCACAGCUAGGGACAACAUUUGGAAACGAAUGCUAAUACCUAAUAUUAUGAUAAUAGGGCAUCCUGUAAUUAUGAAAGCUAUAAGCGCUGUGAGAGAGCUAUGCGUCCCAUUAGCUAGUUGGAGAGGUAACGGCUCACCAAGGCGAUGAUGGGUAGCCGGCCUGAGAGGGUGAUCGGCCACAAGGGGACUGAGACACGGCCCUUACUCCUACGGGAGGCAGCAGUGGGGAAUAUUGGACAAUGGACCAAGAGUCUGAUCCAGCAAUUCUGUGUGCACGAUGAAGUUUUUCGGAAUGUAAAGUGCUUUCAGUUGGGAAGAAAGAAAUGACGGUACCAACAGAAGAAGUGACGGCUAAAUACGUGCCAGCAGCCGCGGUAAUACGUAUGUCACGAGCGUUAUCCGGAUUUAUUGGGCGUAAAGCGCGUCUAGGUGGUUAUGUAAGUCUGAUGUGAAAAUGCAGGGCUCAACUCUGUAUUGCGUUGGAAACUGUAUAACUAGAGUACUGGAGAGGUAAGCGGAACUACAAGUGUAGAGGUGAAAUUCGUAGAUAUUUGUAGGAAUGCCGAUGGGGAAGCCAGCUUACUGGACAGAUACUGACGCUGAAGCGCGAAAGCGUGGGUAGCAAACAGG
rnacentral:rRNA from 1 species